rnacentral:rRNA from 1 species
UACGUAGGGUGCGAGCGUUAAUCGGAAUUACUGGGCGUAAAGCGUGCGCAGGCGGUCUGUUAAGACCGAUGUGAAAUCCCCGGGCUUAACCUGGGAACUGCAUUGGUGACUGGCAGGCUUUGAGUGUGGCAGAGGGAGAUAGAAUUCCACGUGUAGCAGUGAAAUGCGUAGAGAUGUGGAGGAAUACCGAUGGCGAAGGCAGCCUCCUGGGCCAACACUGACGCUCAUGCACGAAAGCGUGGGGAGCAAACAGG